GUCUUCGUGGCUCAGUUGGUUAGAGCGUUGGUCUCAUAAAGUCCAUAUGACUCGAUGGAAACGUCGGGACAUCCAAAGGUCGUGAGUUCGAGUCUCACCGAGGACA
rnacentral:tRNA from 1 species